rnacentral:rRNA from 1 species
CCUACGGGCGGCAGCAGUGAGGAAUAUUGGUCAAUGGUCGGGAGACUGAACCAGUCAAGCCGCGUGAGGGAUGAAGGUACAGAGUAUCGUAAACCUCUUUUGUCAGGGAACAAAGGCGGGGACGUGUCCCCGGAUGAGUGUACCUGAAGAAAAAGCAUCGGCUAACUCCGUGCCAGCAGCCGCGGUAAUACGGAGGAUGCGAGCGUUAUCCGGAUUUAUGGGGUUUAAAGGGUGCGCAGGCGGUCUGUUAAGUCAGCGGUCAAAGCCCGGGGCUCAACCCCGGCCCGCCGUUGAAACUGGCAGUCUCGAGUUGGAGAGAAGUAUGCGGAAUGCGCGGUGUAGCGGUGAAAUGCAUAGAUAUCGCGCAGAACUCCGAUUGCGAAGGCAGCAUGCCGGCUCCACACUGACGCUGAGGCACGAAAGCGUGGGUAUCGAACAGGAUUAGAUACCCUUGUAGUC